rnacentral:lncRNA from 1 species
AGCCGCUGGUCUCUGGAAAGGCUGGUCUGAGGGUGAGGGGCUGGGGAAGAGGGGUUGCUUGCUGAGUAACCAUGGCAACUCUGCAGCCUCAGGGCACCCGGGUGCUCACACCCAUUCCCCCUAGAAUACCCAGAAAAGGGCGAUCUCUGCCUUGACUCAGACUGGGAAACUGAGGUUCAUGAACACCUGUCACUUCCUUCUGCCUACUCUGGGUUACAGUCUUGGAAUAAAAACCCACACUUGGAGCAAGAGCCGCAAGCCCUAGUCACCUCCUGUGUCUGCCCCAGCCCAGGCCUGGCAAGGUGGCAGGAAAGGCACCAGACCUGGGGGAAGAGCAUGUUCAAAGGCUCUGAGAACAAGGCUGUGACCCAAGACUGACCCAGAGUGACAAUGACAUGAAGAUCAAGGUGCUGGAGGGCAGAGACUCUGCAGCUAACAGUAUGCAAAGCUCUUACAGAGACUCUGAGUUCAGAGUCCCAGCACUCGUGCUGGGCUGCUCACAACCGCCUGAGACUGGAGCUCUGGCCUUCACAUACCUGCCUCACAGACUGUAAAAAUAAAGUCAACUGAGGGCUAGAGAGAUGGCUCAGUGGUUAAGAGCACUGGCUACUCUUCCAGUGGUCCUGAGUUCAGUUCCCAGCAACCACGUGGUGGAUCACAACCACUUGUAAUGGGAUCUAAUGCCCUCUUCUUGUGUGUCUGAAGAGAGUGACACUUACAUAAAAUAAAUGAAUCUUUUUUUAAAGUC